rnacentral:rRNA from 1 species
AGUCAUUCUGCCCAUUGAUUUUAAAAGGCUGCGGUAUACUAACUGUACAAAGGUAGCAAAAUAAAUAGUUUUUUAAUUGAAAACUUGAAUGAAAGAGUUGAUAAAAUAUAAAUUGUUUCAAAGAUUUAAUUUAAAUUAAAAGUUAAAAUGCUUUUAUUUUUUUAUUAGACGAUAAGACCCUAAGAAUUUGAUUAUUUAAGUUAUUUUGAAAAAUUUAUUAGAAUUAUUUAAUUUUGUUGGGAGGACAAUAAAAUUAAACUUUUAUUUAAUUAAAUAUUUAUAAAUAAAUUUAAUGAUUAUUAUUAAGAUUAUUAGAAAAAAUUACCUUAGGGAUAACAGCGUAAUAAUUUUGGAGAGUUCAUAUUGAUAAAAUUGUUUGCGACCUCGAUGUUGAAUUAAAAUGAAAUUUAAAUGAAGAAAUUUAAGGUUUUAGUCUGUUCGACUAUUAAAAUUUUAC